rnacentral:rRNA from 1 species
GAUGAACGCUGGCGGCGUGCCUAAUACAUGCAAGUCGAGCGAACAGACGAGGAGCUUGCUCCUCUGACGUUAGCGGCGGACGGGUGAGUAACACGUGGAUAACCUACCUCUAAGACUGGGAUAACUUCGGGAAACCGGAGCUAAUACCGGAUAAUAUAUUGAACCGCAUGGUUCAAUAGUGAAAGACGGUUUUGCUGUCACUUAUAGAUGGAUCCGCGCCGCAUUAGCUAGUUGGUAAGGUAACGGCUUACCAAGGCUACGAUGCGUAGCCGACCUGAGAGGGUGAUCGGCCACACUGGAACUGAGACACGGUCCAGACUCCUACGGGAGGCAGCAGUAGGGAAUCUUCCGCAAUGGGCGAAAGCUUGACGGAGCAACGCCGCGUGAGUGAUGAAGGUCUUCGGAUCGUAAAACUCUGUUAUUAGGGAAGAACAAAUGUGGAAGUAACUAUGCACGUCUUGACGGUACCUAAUCAGAAAGCCACGGCUAACUACGUG